rnacentral:ncRNA from 1 species
UCACGCACAGGGCAAACCAUUCUGAAAAGAUGGGACGCAAAGCUUCCGGCCUAAACUUUUAUGCACAGCAUAAGACGUAUGGUAGCGGGGUUGCCGAU